AAUCUCUUGUUCUCAUUUUCUCGUGUCCUCGCGCUCUUCCUUCUACUGUAUUUUUGUCUUAAAUUCUUUAAUGGCGAGAGAGAGAAAAAAAAACAAAACCAGCUCAGAGCUAUAGUCUUCUUCCACAAAUACGUGUGUGCUUUUCAGAACCUUUCUCCGUCCCUUUCUCCUGCUAACACAUGUGGGGUCUGCAGUGCAAAGGACUCUCCUUUCGUCCAGUGACCAAAUGGCAGUCUCUCAGUUUGCCAAUUUCAUUCAUCACGCCCGCACCGACUGAAGCCUACUCCUCACCAGUUCAGCUGUCUUCCAGUUAAUUGUAUUAACUGCUAAGCACCUCCUCCACCUUUUCGGGUUCUAUUACCGCCCUCAUUAAAAAAAAAAAAAAAAAAAAAAAAAAAAAGAAGGAAAGAAAAGAAAAGAAAAAAGAAAAUCCAACACGAACACUCAAGAUAGCGUGAAUUCAAAAAAGAAAGUGUGCGUGUGCAACACAGUCUGAGUGUGUGCAUCCGUAUGCGUCGCCUGCCUCAGCCUGCCCGGGUCCUGAACAUGUAGCUGAGAGGUGCAGGACAGUCAGAGGGCCAAAACUUCCCCUGCCAGGCUGAGGCUGGGCCCUCCCGAGCUCACCUGUCCGCGUUCAGGUAACUGGCUAAGUGCCCGCCCGGCCGCGUUCCAGGACACCUGGCCGGGACAGAGCGAAUGCCAGUGAAUCCCAGGGCGCCCUCUCCCGCGCGUUGGUUCUCUAGCCCUCCUUCCCUGGGAGGGGUGGGAUUGGGAGUGUUCUGUUUUCAUUACUGCACCCCUUCCCCUAAAGACAACGGGACUGCCCUCCUCCACAGCGCCUUACCUCAAACAGGGGACCGAUCUUGUUCUUCUCCAGUUAAACAGCUUUAUAAGACAUGAUGAAAGCAGCCAUCCCCUAGUUCCUUCUUCACCCUGAUCUGUGAUCUCCAGAGGAAAUGAUGUUCAACUCAUUUUUUUCUGGUUGGACACCUAAUUUGCACAUCAGGACUGCCAUGGACCAUGGUGCAAUGAAGGUGAAGACUGGAGCACUCAUCACCCACGGGUCUCACUUUGUUGCCCAGGCUGGAGUAUAGUGCCCUGAUCACAGCUUGCUGCAACCUCAAGCUCCCAUGCUCAAGCAAGCUUCCUGCCUCAACUUCCCAAGUAGCUGAGACCACAGGCAUGCUCCAUGACACCUGAACUCCUGAACUCAAGCGAUCCUCCUGCCUCAGCCUUCCAAAGUGCUGGGAUUACAGGCAUGAGCCCCUGAACCCUGCCUACCCUCUGUUUCUAUGUGGUGUUUGUCUUUCUAAGCCUGGCCUAUUUCGUGUAACAUAAUUUCCUCCAGAUUUAUCCAUAUUGUCUCAAAUGACCAGAUUUCUUUCUUUUUUAAGGCUGAAUAGUAUUCCAUUGUACAUAUAUACUACAUUUUAUUUAUCCAUUCAUCUGUUGAUGGACACUUAGGUUGAUUCCAUAUCUUGGCUAUUGUGAAUAAGCUGCAAUGAACAUAGGAGUGCAGAUACUGCUUUGACAUAUUCAUUUCAUUUUCUUUGGAUAUGUAUCCAGAAGUGGAAUUGGGCUGGAAUAUAGGCAGUUCUAUUUUUAAUAUUUUGAGGAAACUCCAUAUUACUUUCCAUAAUAGCUGUGCUAAUUUACAUUCCCACCGCCAAUGUAUAAGGGCUUCCUUUUCUCCACAUCCUCUCCAACACUGGUUAUCUCUUGUCUUUUUGAUAUGUUUUCUCUUCUCUGUAAAGCUAUUGGUUGUAGCAUUUUACUUUUUCCAAAUUUUUUUAAUCAAACUUUUGAAAUGUAUAGCUGAAAUGAAAGAAUUUUAGCAUGAAUGCUAAUAUACACUCAGCACCUAUAUUCUUGCUUUUUCAUGUAUUUACUCCUGAAUUAAUAUAUUACUUGUUAUAUGCUUUUGAAAGUAAACUGCAAACAAGUGCAUGCUUCUCCUAGAUCUUUCCACAUGCUCUGCCAUUAAUUAGAGUUCAAUGUUCAAUUUUUUCCUUUUGAUGUACAAUUAAUACACAAUUAAUUUACACACACAUUUUACUUAGUUCUGAAAAAUGUAUAUACUUUUAUAACUCAAAGCCCAUCAUUAUACAACAUUACUAUCACCCUAGCAAAAUCUUUUGUGUCCCUUCUCAAUCACCAAUCCUGACCACACCCCAAGAAAACUACUGUUCAAAUUUUUCUCCAUCAUUGAUUGGCUUUGUCUGUUUUAGAACUUCAUAAAACUAAAAUACUGUAGUAAAUUAUGUACAAUUUUAUGACUAGCUUCCUUUGCUCAAUAUAAUGUUUUCGAGAUUUAUUCAUAUUGCUGCAUGUCAGUAGUUGGUUCUUUUUAUUGCUGCAUAUUUCAUUGAAUAAAAAUGCCAAAGCUUGUUUAUUCAUUCUUGUCUCACAUCAAAGUAUCUGGGGGAUGUUUUCCACUUUUGGCUAUUAGAAAUGAAACAGAUUUGAAUAUUGUCGUACAGGCUUUUUAUGCAUAUAUAUGCCUUCUUUGAGUAAAUACCCAGAAAUUAUGUUACUGGAUCAUAGGUUAAUAUAUGUUUAGUUUUAGAAGAAAAUGCUACCUCUUUUUUCCAAAAUAUUGUCCCAUUUUACACUCCCAGCAGUAAUGUAUGAGAUUUCCAGUUGCUGCACAUCCUUACCAAAAAUUAGCUUUUCUAAUUUUAGUCAUUGUAAGGGGUGUGUAGUGGUGGCUCUAUGUAGUUCUAAUUUGCAUUUCUCUAAUGACUAACGAUGUUAAACAUAUUUUUAUGUACUUGUUUCAUGUACUUGUUGAUAUGUCUAUUCAAUUCCUUUCACCAUUUUUAUGGAGCUGUUUUUUUAUUAUUGAGUUGUAGGAUUUCUUUAUAUAUGCUGCAUACCAGGCCUUUGUUAUAUACAUGCUUUGCAAUGUACAUUGUCUUAAAAUCUGUGGCUUGCCUGUUCAAUUCAUUAGUGGUGUUUUGUUAAGCAGUUUUUAAUUUUGAUGAAGUGUAACUUAUUCAUUUUUUAUUAUGGUUAUUGCUUUAUGUUUCAGGUCCCAAAUUUUGCCUUCUCACAAAUCACAAACAUUAUCCUAUGUUUUCCUUCAAAAAUUAUAUGGUUUUAUGUAUUUUCAAUCUCAAAAUAUUCUCUAAUUUUUUUGCUGAUUUAUUUACUAAAGAAAUUUGAGGGAUUUGCUAUAAUGUUAGGGAUUUUUCUAGAUGCCACAUUGUUAUUGAUUUCUAAUUUAAUUAUAUUAUGCUCAGAAAACAUAUUCUGUAUGCUUUCAACACUUUUAAAUUUAUUGAGACUUGUUGGAGGGUCCAGCAUAUAAUCUAUCUCAGUGAACACACUGUAUUUACUUGAAAAGAUGUAUAUUCUGCAGUUAUUCAGUGUAGUGUUCUAUAAAAUCAUUUAGGUCAAGGUGGUUGAUAGUUUGUUCAAAUCCAUCUACGUCUUCAUUAAUUUUAUUUAUCUGGCUCUAUCAAUUGCUAAAAGAAUGUUGUUAAAAAUUGUCAACUAUGAUUUUAGAAUCAUUUAUUUCUCCCUUUGAUUAAUGAAUGUUGUUUCAUGAAUUUUGAAGCUAUUCAGAGACAAAAAAAAACUAUUUAUGAAUAUUGUCUUCCUAAAUGAACUGAUGAUUCUUUUG
rnacentral:lncRNA from 1 species